UGGGGAAUAUUGCACAAUGGGCGCAAGCCUGAUGCAGCCAUGCCGCGUGUGUGAAGAAGGCCUUCGGGUUGUAAAGCACUUUCAGCGGGGAGGAAGGCGUUAAGGUUAAUAACCUUGGCGAUUGACGUUACCCGCAGAAGAAGCACCGGCUAACUCCGUGCCAGCAGCCGCGGUAAUACGGAGGGUGCAAGCGUUAAUCGGAAUUACUGGGCGUAAGGCGCACGCAGGCGGUCUGUCAAGUCGGAUGUGAAACCCCCGGGCUCAACCUGGGAACUGCAUUCGAAACUGGCAGGCUAGAGUCUUGUAGAGGGGGGUAGAAUUCCAGGUGGAGCGGUGAAAUGCGUAGAGAUCUGGAGGAAUACCGGUGGCGAAGGCGGCCCCCUGGACAAAGACUGACGCUCAGGUGCGAAAGCGUGGGGAGCAAACAGG
rnacentral:rRNA from 1 species